GGCCUCGAUGAGCUUCCCGCGGUAGACCUCGCCCGUGUUGGUCUCGCAGGUGACGAUGUGCCCCUCGGCCUCGUGCAGCACCUUGAUCGGCACCCCGAUGGACAUGGCGGCCCAGGAGGAGGAGGAGGAAGAGGAAGGCGCAGGAGGAAGGAGAGGCGCUCCCGGCCUGCCCCGCGCGCCCGCCGCUCUGCCCCGCCGCCUCUAUGGCGCGCCGCUCUCCGCAGGAAACUGCGCUCCCGGCCUGCCCCGCGCGCGCGCCGCUCUGCCCCGCCGGCUCUAUGGCGCGCCGCUCUCCGCAGGAAACUGCGCUCCCGGCCUGCCCCGCGCGCGCGCCGCUCUGCCGCGCCGCCAAUAUGGCGCGCCGCUCUCCGCGGGAGAGGAGCGGCGCUCCCGGCCUGCCCCGCGCGCGCGACGCCCCGCCCAGGCCGGCCCCGGCCCCGCCAGAGCCAUGAAGAGCCCGGCCGAGGAGGCCUCCGCGCCGCCGCCGCCGCCCUCAGGUGGGUGCUCCGGGCCGGGGGCGCCCUCUUGCGCGGCCGAGCUCCGGAGCCCCCUGCCCUUUCCUGCCCUUGCCGACGCGGCGGCCGAGGGCGUCGGGGACGCUGUGCAGCUGAAGGUGCCGGCGCUGCAGCAGCUCUACCACUGGGACUGCGGGCUGGCCUGCUCCAGGAUGGCGCUGCGGUACCUGAACCUGCUGAACGAUGAGGACUUCCAGAGAGCAGUCCGGGACCUCCAGUUGACCAAAAGCAUCUGGACAAUUGACUUAGCGUACCUGAUGCGUCACUUUGGGGUGAACCAUCUGUUCUGCACCCAGACGCUGGGCGUGGACAAGGGCUACAAAAACCAGUCUUUUUAUAGAAAACAUUUUGACACAGAGGAGAACCGUGUAAACCAACUAUUUGCCCAAGCAAAAGCCUGCAAAGUGCUGGUGGAAAAACGCACGGUGACCAUCGGGGACAUCCAGGAACACCUCUCACAGGGCCACAUUGCCAUUGUGCUGGUCAAUGCCGUCUUGCUGCUGUGCGACCUCUGCUCCAGCCCAGUCAAGUACUGCUGUUUCCUGCCCAUCGGCCAGAAGUGCUUCUGCCGCAGCCCCGACUACCAGGGCCACUUCAUCGUUUUGUGUGGCUACAACAGAGCUUUGGGGUGCAUUUAUUACAACAACCCUGCCUACGCGGACCGAACGUGCAGCACCAGCAUCCAUAACUUCGAGGAAGCCAGGACCAGUUAUGGCACAGAUGAGGAUAUCCUCUUCAUUUACCGAAACAGCUGACCCUCCGGCUGGGGCUCCCAACUCACCGCCAUUGCGGCAGCCAUCUCAGGACUCCGAGACCUCCGCUCCUGGACUGCGCCAGAUAAUAUCUCGACUGUAAAAGAGAUGAUCCGACACCUCAGGACUAAAUCACGGUUAGAACUCCAGAGCCUCUUCUACUCCCACCCUCCGCAGGAAUAGCAUUAAGCCACCAUGCCUGAGCGGCUGAUGUCCAUCUUCUUCUCACAAAUUUCAAGAUGGAGAAGCCACAAGCCUCUGCAGAUUCUGCAGCCUGGGAAAUCGUCCCUCCAGGACUCCUUUUAUGUGACUGGAUCUCUUCUGCAGACAGUCCUCAAGGCCUGGGUCAUCUUUGCUGUCCUCUGAAUGUCUUCUGACUGCCAAUAAGCCUCUGGAACCGUGGUGCCCAGAAUCGUCCACGAUGCUUCAGGUAGAGCCUCACUAGGGCUGAGCGAGGGCUGGGUAAAAUCUUCUGCUUCUUUAACGCAGUGCUUUUUCCACUGUGGUUCUGCUGUUGGGUGUGAGAGGGCUUCCAACCGCCCUCUCACACCCAAGACAUUCUCCAACAUGGUGUUUCCAUCAUGAAGCCAUCACUGUGUACCUGUGUGUAUCCUAUAUUUUACCUCCCUAAAAUAGAACACCUGGGAUUUCGCUCAAAUCAAAGUCCUGCUGAUCCCAGACGUCUACAUUAUCCAGAUGAGAUUGCAAUCUCCAUCAGUCUUCCUGGGGGUGGGCCAGAUCUUCCAGCUUUGUGAAUGAGUCUGCCAACAGAUGCCUGGGUGGUUGAACUCUCCCAUCGCAGCCACUUCAUGGUGUUUUGAAGCUUCAGUUAUUGUUUUAAUAAAUAUUCCGACUGGUUCGUGAUCUGUAGCCAAGUCCCAGCAAGGCAUCUUUCCUAUGAGAUUGUCCUUUUAUCGUAACCCAGAUGCCUUCCAUGCUCGUAUGUCCUGCAGGGCUGGGCCUAGCCAGGACUUCAACACCUCCCUCCCCUCCACCUCUGAUUCAAGGUGUCCACAUCAAGUCCAACGUUUCUCUGGUGGGAUCCUUGAUAGGUCUUUGUGCCUCAUGAUAUUCAGUUCAUGUUGUUACCCAUAUUUCAAACUUUAGCGCAGAAACAGUGAAGAUAAUGGGUUUGAUUCUCUGACUUCAGCUCCCCUUUGCUUUUAUUUCCUUACCAUCUUUAUUAAACAUGUAGCCUCCAAAACAUUUUAUUUCCCCACUCCAUUACAUACAAAUUCAUUAUUUGCAAAUGAUUCUCUAGAAUCUCUCUCGAUACACUCCGUUCCUUGAAGUUCCCUUCCUUGAAAAAAUAGUUAAUUAGAAGGAAAAGAAGCCAAGUUUGGACACAGAACAGGUGGAGGGACUCAUUUCAGUCCCACCUCAUCCAUUUAACCCUUUGUUUCUACUACAUAGCUCUAAGCUGGUGGUAAAAGCUCUGUGGCUACAUCUGAAAAUAUUCAGAAUAGCUAAAGAAAACUUUACUCGUUUCUUCCAAGAGCAAUUUUAGUGGUUUUGCUGGACUUUGCACAAAUAUAUUCCUAUCUAGUCUAUAUGAUUGAUUUUCGUCUCAAUAUACGUCCAUACUUAAAUCGUCAUAACAACAGUAUUCCCAACUACAACUUCAAAAAAGCCAAUUACGACCUUAUAAACAACAAUCUUUCAUUUCUGGACUGGCAAAAUCUGUUUGCAACCUGCAUAACCGCUGAAGACCACUAUAGAGUCUUCCGACUUGAAAUCAAUAGAGUCAUUAAACUAUAUGUACCACAAAUGACUACCAUGAUCAGGAAAAACAAACUAUAUCAAUAAAAAAGCUUCAAUCAAAAAAAAAAUCCCUCUGGAAAAGAAACAAAAAAGGCUAUGUUGCAAAUUUCAAAAACCGCUAUAGAAAUAUAUGCAACCAAAUAAAAACUGAAUGCAUAACUUACCACACCAAGCAAAAAGAGAACCUUCUGCGCACAAAUUCCAAUCGUGCCUUUUAUAAUUUUGUUAACAAUAAACUUAAAGACUCAAGAUCCAUCCCACCACUAAAAGAUUCUAACAACAAAGAAUGCAAUGAUGAAACAGUUAAAGCAAACCUCUUCAACAUUUUCUUUGGCUCAGUUUUUGUUAACUCCGAUAACACAUAUCCGACAUUCCACAAACGUACCAGCAAUGAUUAUGAUGACUUAACUCAUAUAGAUUUCACAGAAGAUAACGUUGGAAAAGCUCUUCAUAACCUAAAACCAUCGCUAUCUAUUGGACCCGAUGGACUAUGUGCAUACUUCUUAAAAAAACUUUCCAUUAAUAUAGCAGAACCCCUAAAUAUUAUCUUUGAUAAAG